rnacentral:rRNA from 1 species
UACGGAGGGUGCGAGCGUUGUCCGGAAUCAUUGGGCGUAAAGGGCGCGUAGGCGGCCGUCCCAAGCGUGCGGUGAAAGUCAGGGGCUCAACCCCUGAUCGGCCGUGCGAACUGGGGGGCUCGAGCACUGUAGAGGCAGGCGGAAUUCCGGGUGUAGCGGUGGAAUGCGUAGAGAUCCGGAAGAACACCGGUGGCGAAGGCGGCAUCCUGGACCGGCAUUGACGCUGAGGAGCGAAAGCUAGGGGAGCAAACGGG